rnacentral:rRNA from 1 species
AACGAACGCUGGCGGCAUGCCUAACACAUGCAAGUCGAACGAGAUCUUCGGGUCUAGUGGCGCACGGGUGCGUAACGCGUGGGAAUCUGCCCUUUGGUUCGGAAUAACAGUUGGAAACGACUGCUAAUACCGGAUGAUGACGAAAGUCCAAAGAUUUAUCGCAAGAGGAUGAGCCGGCGUAGGAUUAGCUAGUUGGUGUGGUAAAGGCGCACCAAGGCGACGAUCCUUAGCGGGUCUGAGCGGAUGAUCAGCCACACUGGGAGUGUGACACGGCCCAGAAUCCUGCGGGAGGGAGCAGUGGGGAAUAUUGGAAAGUGGGCGAAAGCCUGAUCCAGCAAUGCCGCGUGAGUGAUAAAGGCCUUAGGGGUGUAAAGCUCUUUUACCCGGGAUGAUAAUGACAGUACCGGGAGAAUAAGCACCGGCUAACUCCGUGCCAGCCGCCGCCGUAAGAC